rnacentral:SRP_RNA from 13 species
GCGUUUUGGAGGACUGGAACUCCCAGUACGCUAUCUGGACCACAGUUGCCGUGAUGGGGUGGCUGGUAUUCGUGUUCAUUCACUACCGGCGGGAGAUCCGGGAGGCCAGGAUGAAAGGGGCGAUUCUGAAGGGGAUGGGACUGGGUAAGAAAUUCAGCAGGGAGGAGCU